CAGUCGCCACGGUAAUACGAAGGGGGCUAGCGUUAUUCGGAAUUACUGGGCGUAAAGCGCACGUAGGCGGCUUUGUAAGUAAGAUGUGAAAGCCCGGAGCUCAACUCCGGAACUGCCUUUUAGACUGCAUCGCUUGAAUCCAGGAGAGGUGAGUGGAAUUCCGAGUGUAGAGGUGAAAUUCGUAGAUAUUCGGAAGAACACCAGUGGCGAAGGCGGCUCACUGGACUGGUAUUGACGCUGAGGUGCGAAAGCGUGGGGAGCAAACAGGAUUAGAUACCCGCGUAGUCCCUGUCUCUUAUAC
rnacentral:rRNA from 1 species